rnacentral:rRNA from 1 species
CCUACGGGAGGCAGCAGUGGGGAAUCUUGCGCAAUGGGCGAAAGCCUGACGCAGCCAUGCCGCGUGAAUGAUGAAGGUCUUAGGAUUGUAAAAUUCUUUCACCGGGGACGAUAAUGACGGUACCCGGAGAAGAAGCCCCGGCUAACUUCGUGCCAGCAGCCGCGGUAAUACGAAGGGGGCUAGCGUUGCUCGGAAUUACUGGGCGUAAAGGGAGCGUAGGCGGAUAGUUUAGUCAGAGGUGAAAGCCCAGGGCUCAACCUUGGAAUUGCCUUUGAUACUGGCUAUCUUGAGUGUGGGAGAGGUAUGUGGAACUCCGAGUGUAGAGGUGAAAUUCGUAGAUAUUCGGAAGAACACCAGUGGCGAAGGCGACAUACUGGCCCAUUACUGACGCUGAGGCUCGAAAGCGUGGGGAGCAAACAGGAUUAGAUACCCUGGUAGUCCACGCUGUAAACGAUGAGUGCUAGUUGUCGGCAGCAUGCUCGUCGGUGACGCGAGCUACGACAUAAGUACACUCCGCCGUCGGGAGGUACGGUCGGCGAGAAUUAAACGUUAAAACGUAAAGUUAGUACGGCGUGAGACGUGCCGACGGACGACGACGAGGGAGGUAGG